GACGAACGCUGGCGGCGUGCUUAACACAUGCAAGUCGAGCGGUAAGGCCCCUUCGGGGGUACACGAGCGGCGAACGGGUGAGUAACACGUGAGCAAUCUGCCCAUCACAUCGGGAUAACUCCGGGAAACCGAAGCUAAUACCGAAUACGACCACCUCCGGCAUCGGAUGGUGGUGGAAAGUUCCGGCGGUGAUGGAUGAGCUCGCGGCCUAUCAGCUUGUUGGUGGGGUAACGGCCCACCAAGGCUUCGACGGGUAGCCGGCCUGAGAGGGUGACCGGCCACACUGGGACUGAGACACGGCCCAGACUCCUACGGGAGGCAGCAGUGGGGAAUAUUGGACAAUGGGCGAAAGCCUGAUCCAGCAACGCCGCGUGAGGGAUGCCGGCCUUCGGGUUGUAAACCUCUUUCAGCAGGGACGAAGCGCAAGUGACGGUACCUGCAGAAGAAGCACCGGCCAACUACGUG
rnacentral:rRNA from 1 species